UACGGAGGGUGCAAGCGUUAUCCGGAAUCACUGGGUUUAAAGGGUGCGUAGGCGGUCUAAUAAGUCAGUCGUGAAAUCGCUGGGCUCAACCCAUGCAAUUGCGAUUGAUACUGUUAGACUUGAAUGGGGUUGAGGCUGGCGGAAUGCGACAUGUAGCGGUGAAAUGCUUAGAUAUGUCGCAGAACACCGAUUGCGAAGGCAGCCGGCUGGGCCCUUAUUGACGCUGAGGCACGAAAGCGUGGGGAGCAAACAGG
rnacentral:rRNA from 1 species